GAUGCAGCGACGCCGCGUGGGUGAAGAAGCGCCUCGGCGCGUAAAGCCCUGUCAGCAGGGAAGAAAAUGACGGUACCUGAAGAAGAAGCCCCGGCUAACUACGUGCC
rnacentral:rRNA from 1 species